AAGGAACUUAUAUAGCAAGUACCUUGAAAAGCACAUCAGGAAUCGAAGAGCUUUGUGCACUGAUAUAUGACCUCAGAGUAUACGAAAUGCUGUCAGAUGAUAAUAUUGAGAUUGAUUACGAGGUUUCCAGUAAUGAGACAUGUAACGUGACCUUUAUCUGCAUAGUGAGGACAUCAGAUGUGACCAUUACCUGGGAGAGUUCAACUAACACUGAUGUAAAUGUGACCAGUAAUGUUGUACAUGUACAAGACCCUGAUCUAAAAGUUAUCUACACCUGUACAGCCUGGAACCCCAUCAGUAGCGUCUCCAAAUCUGUGACCCCCUGGAAGUACUGCAAGAUAGGGAGACAACAGAUAUCAGAAGACUACAAAGACAUGAACAUAAUACGGCUGAAGUUGGCUGGUUUCCUAUUGAUAAUCACUUGCUUUAUUCUUGGCCAUCACAUUAAAACAGAGGUGGUGGUGUCCUCAACAGACAACAAAUGAAGGAUCUGCAAGGGUCAGGUCUGGACUUCAAGAACAGAAGUAAUGGGUUCUACAAACCACCUUCUGAGCUUCUGGACUUAGACUUCAUCUUGGACAGAGCUUAUAUGUUUAUUGUAUUAAAAAAUGUUUUUUGUUUUUUUGCAUUUUCUUCAGACAGGUCUCGUUUAAGAUAAUCAGACUAACAAUGGAAGCAGGACAAAAAGUUACAAAAGCAGACUCUAUUAUAAUCAGAAAAUCCAAAAAGUUUCAAAGGAAUUGUUUGGGCCAGUAUUUCAGAAACGACACUACCUUAAUCAGUAGUUGUAUCUGCUAGUGGUAGUGUAUUACAUCUCAGCCAUUUAAAAA